AUCGGCAGCCGCUGCGGCGGGGAGAAGCAGUAUCGUGCAGGGCGGGCUUCCAGUUGGGCUUCGGUGGGUUUGAAGCACACGUUAGGGGGAAAUGGCUCUGUUCGUGCAGGUUUGCGGAGUCUGAGUUUCUUAGGUUUAGUAGGUGGGGUGGGUUUCUCUGGGGGUGUGGUGGGAAGCUGAUCAGUUCGGAUAACGGCCCUGAGCAGGGGUCUCUGUCCCCCUCCCGGCCUGACGCGGGGCUUCCAGCGGACACCACCGACGAUUUUAUAGGUUCAGAAAGUGUGUCUCAGAGGAGUUAGAGAAGACCAAUUAAUAGAUGACAGUGCUGAAGCCUGGAUCUCCUGAAUCUUGGAUGAAAGUGUCGUAAGUUAGAUUCCUGGGAAGAAAUUUCUGAGACACAUUCUGCAGGAUGAUUAUUAGGGCUCAUCCUUGGUUUCAACACCUAUAGAAGGAAGGCGGAAGAAGACAUUGAACAGAGAGACAGAAGUCAAGAUGCAUUUCAGGCUAGGACUCUUGGCUGAACCCACAGGAGCUCUGGAGCUAGAAUGGCCCUUCAGAGUUGUCCUGAGUUGGUCUGAGAUGGCUAGUUCUUUAUAUUCCUGCAUGGGAUAGUCACUGGAUGUCCACCCCAGGAAGGGGUGUGGCCAAGACAGUCCCUGAAAUGCCCGCCAGCACUCCCUACACCUGGAGCGACAAGACCAACAUCACAGGGGGAAUGCACUGGGUGAUGGAUCACAGCGUUCAUCCCAGAAGAUGAGGAUACAGAAUUGGCUGACAGCUACGUUCUAAAUGUCAAUGUUCUCCAAAAUUCAUAUGUUGAAACUUAAUUCCCCAAUGUGAUGGCAUUAGGAAGUGGGGCUUUUGGGGGAGGGACUAUAGGUCAUGAGGGUG
rnacentral:antisense_RNA from 1 species